UAGUAAGUGGAGAUUGAAACUUGAAGAAUUCUUUGUAUUCCAGAUUAUGCAAUUUAGUGAUUCUCCUCGAAUUCCUGAGAAAGAGACUGUAAGACAUCUGUUGGCGGUGUUUAUGAUGAAGUAUUCUAGACACGCAUGGUUCCUGCAGAAGUUUGCCUUCGGUAUUGUCUUCAUUAACAGCCAUCGACCUAAGUUCCGUCAAGGGAGCGGUGUCAUUAAAAAGUGAAUCUUUAUUACCUAGGAAAAAUUUUGCCACUUGCCUUCCAAGAACCCAUUGUGUAAGGUCCCAAUUGUGUCUGCUUUCAUGUGAGUUAGUCCUGUGCGUUUUCUUAUCUAGGUUCCUUGAUGGCUGUUCUGUGAUCAUGAGCUGCUGACAUGACGUUGGUUUACCAUUAAAAAAGCUUCGGGUUCGUUAGAGAAUGAGUAACUAGGCCUACAAAAGUCUGGUAUUAUACUCUGAUCAUUUGAAGUUUGUCAGCAGCAGAUUUGAGAAAGCAUGUGAUUAGGCCCAUGAAGUAUAUCAUGCUCGUUAAGUGUUGUCAGUAGAGAAUUUGAGGAAUUUUGAUUAGGCCUACAAAGGGUCUGGUAAUAUACGUACUGGACUUGUACAAUGGAAUUGUUUUCAUUUGUUGGCCUAUGCAUAGUCUACAAUUUAUUUUCAAGCAUCUAGGAGUUUGUCUUGUCAGUCUACCCUGAUUUUAAAGUAUCAAAUAGUCAAAAUGCCAGAAACUUGAGCACUAAUAUUAAAGUUUUACUGGUGAUGUGCAUAAGCUGCUGUGGUCUUCGUAUGCCUAUAAAUCAUGUUUGUUUCAAUUUCGUAAGUACCUGGGAGUUGGUCAUGUUUGUAUAAUGGUUUAAAAUAUCUAAAAUUCCUAGUCAGAAUGCUAGAAACAGAAGUCUGCCCUUGUUCAGUGAGGGGAAGCCUAGUGUAGACUUGUGGCAUUCAUAAUACUUUGUGUGCUUGCAGUUGGUGUUUAAUAUAUUGCUAAAACACUAUAGAAGUUUUUAGUCUGUAUUUAACAAAGCUUUUUAUUGUAGUGUC